GUGCUCACUUUGGCAGCACAUAUACUAAAAUUGGAAUGAUUGGAAGAUUAGCAUGACCCCUGCGCAAGGAUGACAAGCAAAUUCAUGAAGUGUUCUAUAUUUUU